rnacentral:rRNA from 1 species
AUUGAACGCUGGCGGCAUGCUUUACACAUGCAAGUCGAACGGGCCUGGGGGCAACUCCAGGUCAGUGGCGAACGGGUGAGUAAUGCAUCGGAACGUGUCCCGUAGUGGGGGAUAACCCGGCGAAAGCCGGACUAAUACCGCAUAUGCUCUACGGAGGAAAGUGGGGGACCUGCAAGGGCCUCACGCUAUGGGAGCGGCCGAUGUCCGAUUAGCUUGUUGGUGGGGUAAUGGCCUACCAAGGCGACGAUCGGUAGCUGGUCUGAGAGGAUGAUCAGCCACACUGGGACUGAGACACGGCCCAGACUCCUACGGGAGGCAGCAGUGGGGAAUUUUGGACAAUGGGGGCAACCCUGAUCCAGCCAUGCCGCGUGCGGGAAGAAGGCCUGGUGUAACG